UACAGAGGUGGCAAGCGUUGUUCGGAAUUACUGGGCGUAAAGGGCGCGUAGGCGGUCUUGUAAGUCUUGUGUGAAAUCCCUCGGCUUAACUGAGGAACUGCACGAGAUACUGCGAGACUUGAGAUCGGGAGAGGGAAGCGGAAUUCCGGGUGUAGCGGUGAAAUGCGUAGAGAUCGGGAGGAAGGCCGGUGGCGAAGGCGGCGCUCUGGAACAUUCCUG
rnacentral:rRNA from 1 species